rnacentral:rRNA from 1 species
AUUGAACGCUGGCGGCAGGCUUAACACAUGCAAGUCGAGCGGGGUGAUGGUGCUUGCACUAUCACUUAGCGGCGGACGGGUGAGUAAUGCUUAGGAAUCUGCCUAUUAGUGGGGGACAACAUCUCGAAAGGGAUGCUAAUACCGCAUACGUCCUACGGGAGAAAGCAGGGGAUCACUUGUGACCUUGCGCUAAUAGAUGAGCCUAAGUCGGAUUAGCUAGUUGGUGGGGUAAAGGCCUACCAAGGCGACGAUCUGUAGCGGGUCUGAGAGGAGGAUCCGCCACAAUGGGACUGAGACACGGCCCAGACUCCUACUGGAGGCAGCAGUGGGGAAUAUUGGACAAUGGGGGGAAGCCUGAUCCAGCCAUGCCGCGUGUGUGAAGAAGGCCUUAUGGUUGUAAAGCACUUUAAGCGAGGAAGAGGCUCUGUUGGUUAAUACCCAAGAUGAGUGGACGUUACUCGCAGAAUAAGCACCGGCUAACUCUGUGCCAGCCGCCGCGGUAA